UGAAAUUGUAUUGUAUUGUAU
rnacentral:piRNA from 1 species